rnacentral:lncRNA from 1 species
GCAGAACUCUUCCCAACCAUAAAACCCAUGUCUUCAACUUCUAAGACUGUAUUAAAUUCAUACGAUUGAUAAUAUACGACGAAUUAUCUUUACUACCAUUUAUUUGAAGGAGUUUGUCUUGGCCGUCGCCAUCGCGUUGCCGUCCUAAAAUCGUAAGGUCUCUAUUAUAGGAUUGGCGACGUUUGAACUUGGCCUUAGUUCAAAGUCAACAUGGUGUACUUCACUACGACUAUGACGCA